UUUGGACUGAAAUUUCAAACUACAUUGUCGAAAUCACCAUGAACAAAUGAGAAUUAUGGGAAACAAAAACUGUAUGACACAGCUUUGGUGUUGGUUGGAAGAAAACUUUAUUUUCAUUUCAGCCUGAUCACAAAACUCAGUUCCAGUAACGUUUAACAAACUUCAGGCCCCUCUGGUUGUGGUGUGAGGUCAGCCAAUGCAUUCCUUUGAUAAAGUUGAUUGAUGCUGGUGUGUAAUUGUAGUUUUGGAGACUUUUUUCAACCAUUACAAUUUCUCAAAUGUGACUCCUUGGUGAAAGGUUUGGUUCUUGGACUGUGCAUUGAGGCAACGCAGGCUUGCAUCCCCUUCCAGGAAGGUUCAUCACAGUUCUACGUGUUUAAAAUGUCUGAGACAUUGAAGUAAUCGUGGAAA